rnacentral:tRNA from 1 species
GGAGGGUAUGCGAAUUGGCUAGCGGCGACACUGGAAAUGUCGUGCCGGUUUACCGGUUGCGGGUUCGAGUCCCGUGCCCUCCG